GAGGGUGUAGCUCAGUGGUAGAGCACAUGCUUAGCAUGCACAAGGUCCUGGGUUCAAUCCCCAGUACCUCCA
rfam:Camelus ferus unplaced genomic scaffold scaffold480, whole genome shotgun sequence.